GAUGAUAUGAUAUAGAUAUACCAUACUCAUUCUUUAGUCUCGAGACUUUCCUCUCUUUCACCUCUUUUUCUUCUCCUCUUCUCUUUUAUGCACCUUAUUGUCGUCACGAUCUCACCUUCUCGUUCCAAACAAAAUUUUUCCCCUGCUAGCUUAGAAAGUGAAAGAAACUGGAGGUAGGAAGACGAGGCUUUUGUGUCUCAUCUAUGGUGGCGUCCCUCCGAAGUGGAAUCUAGGGCGCGGCGGAAAGAAGGGGAAGUGAAAGGCGGAGGACUUUUGAGUUUUAUUGGCCGAGAGGCUAGGGCACGGUGUGAUUUGGUUCGAUCUCGGUGUGGAAGCUCGGGGAAUCAACUUAUUGCGUAGUGGUUUUGUGGUUGUGGGAUUUUGGAAACCUUAGAUUUGGGUCAGGGUUGUGUGGUUGGCUGAUUAAGCUAGGGGCGGGGCUGCCCUUGCGAUUGACUGGGUUUUCAUGCUGUCAAAACCACUGCCUUGGGAUCGGAAGGACUUCUUCAAGGAGAGGAGAGGAAGCACGAGAGGUCGGAGUCUUUAAGUUUGCUGCAAGAUAGAGGACUCGCAUCAGGGUUCUUGGGAGUUUGCUCGCCGGAAUCGGCAGACUUGCGCCGUCCUACAGAAGCACGAGAGGUCUGAGUCUUUAGGUUAGCUGCAAGAUAGAGGGACUCGCAUCAGGUUCUUGGGAGUUUGCUCGCCGGGAUCGGUAGACUUUCGCCCCCCUACAGGGACACUUUUCUUUGCCAUGAGCAAUGUUGGUGAGGUGGGUAAAUAUCAAUACACUUGAAUAUGAUUGUGACAUCAUUUGGGGGCUUUUGACUCUGGAAGAUUUCUGAUUAAUGUCAUUAAAUUUUUUCUUUUUCUUUUGAAACAAUAUGCCCCUUGAAGACUUGCUUUGAAUAAAUAAGAUUUUAACUUGUUUAGCAUUGUCUAUUGUUGUCUUAUUGCAUUAGAGAGAAGAAAAAAUUACACCUUGAUUCCAUUAUUCUCCUUUUCAAUUCUAUCUAGUCAACAUCCUAAACAAUUUAUCAUCUUUGAAAACUUGAAGACCUUCUACUUCUAGCUUUAUCUUGCAGAAGGACAAUGAUUCCUGAUCUAUCUGAAUGAGGUUUAACACCAAGAACCAGAUUAGGCCUUGGACAACUCAGAUGGAAAUUAAAUCUUGUCUGCAUCACUGCUCCAUCUCCAAAUUGACUUGAGCUUUUCUUAUUUACUGACAUUCUAUUUUUGUACAGAUUUUUAUACACUGGAUCUGUAGAAAUUAUAUUUGAUAUUGCACAAGAUCUCCUCAUAGCUACUGAUCAGUAUCUCUUGCAGGGAUUAAGCGUCCCUGUGAGUGUACCAUUGCCCAUGAUAUAUCACUGGAAAAUGUUUCAAGAAUGCAUGAGCUUUCAGAAGCCUUCCAUGCUAUUUCCUUAAGACACACAUGCCUCUUGUCUAUCUUGGAGCAGUUUAGUAAACUGAGUUCUAGGGCCGGGUGUCUGACAGGCAACCGGCUUAAUGGAAAUAUUCCAGAUGGAAUCAAGGGAAGGUAGAGCCGCACGAACUUGUUCAGAAGCUUUUCUGAGGAGGGGAACUUAGAACUUGGUGGGUGCUUGGAAAACUAUCCUUGUAAAAAAGGUGAGUACAUAAAAUGUGAGGUGAAUUUCUCAGUUAUUUUAUCCUAGAUGAUUGGGACUUAUCUUUGGUAUUGAAAUGAAAUUAUAUCAUCUCAUCAAGGACAUAAAAUUUAGUUUUAUUUAUUUGUAUAUUUAUAUAUUUAUUUAUGUUUAGUAUAACUGAUCACCGUCUAUAACUUUUCUGUUUUCUUAAGAUCGUUAUUCAUUGCAUAUAAAUUGUGGUGGAGAGAAAUCUACUGUUGGAAAUGUUGUUUAUGAAGGGGAUCAAUAUGAAGGAGGUGCAACAAAAUUUCAUCUUAUGACUGAUUAUUGGGGAUUUAGUAGCACUGGACACUUCUAGGAUCAUAACAGAACCAUAAAUGAUUACAUAGCACAAAAUGUAUCCGUACUUGGAAUGAACCACUCUGAGUUGUACACCAGAGCACGACUUUCUCCUCUAACUUUUACUUACUAUGGGCGCUGCUUAGCAGAUGGGAACUAUACAGUAAAAAUUCACUUUGCAGAGAUAAUUAUCAGAGGCAAUAAAUCCUUUCAUAGCCUUGGCAGACAGAUUUUUAAUGUUUAUAUUCAGGUACUCAUAAUAGGAAAAAUUAGAUUGGUGCUUGGUUUGUUAUAGAAGGUUAGUUGAUUUAAUUAGUUAAUUGCAGGGAAAGUUGGAAUCGGAGGAUUUUGAUGUUGUACAAGCAGCACAAGGGGUUGAAAAGGUAGUUGUAAAAGAAUUUAAAGCAGUUGUGAAGAAUAAAACUUUAGAGACCCACUUUCAUUGGGCUGGCAAGGGGACAACAGCUAUACCAAGCAGAGGAACUUGUGGUCCUCUCAUAUCAGCUAUUUCUGUGGAAUCUGGUUUUAAUGCAUGACUUCAUUAUAAGAUAUAAUGUCAUGGCACCUACGCUUGGACUAGUCUCUUAUUUACCCAUAUUGGAGACAUACUUCAUUAAUAACCUAGCAAGGUAUUAAGUUGUUCUUGCAUUACCUCAUUUGCAGUUUAUUUUUUUAUUAAUUGGUGUAUUUUUUUCACACUAACGAAAACCAGUGUAAGGAGUUUGCAAUUGGAACUCAAGUCUCGCAUUGAGGAGUUUGAGAAGCUUGACAAAUUCCAUAUGGAACAAAUGGAAGAAGAGGUUACCGCAAGAAAUGCCCACAUACAUCAACAGAAAGUUGGUAGUUUGGAAUGUUUUAUGGUAGCUAAGAGCAGUGCAGAAGAAUUUUCAAAAACUGAUAUUGUUGAAGGAAACAUAAUGGUAUGCUGCUGCUGAUAAUGUUAUUGUUGCUAUUUAUGCUACUCAUCCAACUCCUAUGGAGAAAUAUGGAAGUUGUGGUUGAAAAGGUUUGCAAUAGGUUUGGUGGAGUCACAUGUAUUGUUUAUAUUAUUGUUUUAAUUCUAUUUUCAUCUAUCAUGUGCUAAUAUGACAACUUAUUAUCAUGUUAGGUUUUAAUGCAUGACUUCAUUAUAAGAUAUAAUGUCAUGGCACCUACGCUUGGACUAGUCUCUUAUUUACCCAUAUUGGAGACAUACUUCAUUAAUAACCUAGCAAGGUAUUAAGUUGUUCUUGCAUUACCUCAUUUGCAAUUUAUUUUUUUAAUAAUUGGUGUAUUUUUUUCACGCUAACGAAAACCAGAGUAAGGAGUUUGCAACUGGAACUCAAGUCUCGCAUUGAGGAGUUUGAGAAGCUUGACAAAUUCCAUAUGGAACAAAUGGAAGAAGAGGUUACCGCAAGAAAUGCCCACAUACAUCAACAAAAAGUUGGUAGCUUGGAAUGUUUUAUGGUAGCUAAGAGCAGUGCAGAAGAAUUUUCAAAAACUGAUAUUGUUGAAGCAUGGCCACAUUGAAGAGACAUCUUCCUAUUUCUGGACCAGAGGGACUUAAUGAGCUAAGGAAAAUUGUUGAAAGGUUUGAGGAAAAGAUUUAUUCUACUGCCACAAGCCAGGUAUAUCCAUCAUGCUAGUAUUUACUCAACCAUUCCUCAAGACCUAUGAACAUUUUUUGUAUCUAUCCUUAGUGUAAAAGAUUAAAGUGCAAAACUUGAUAUUAUCUUAUCUUACUUUGUUAUUAAUAAUUUGAUGAAUUGAUAUAUUUUUAUUUUUACUUCUAAUUCA